rnacentral:rRNA from 1 species
UACAGAGGUCUCAAGCGUUGUUCGGAUUCAUUGGGCGUAAAGGGCGCGUAGACGGUGGGGUAAGUCUGGUGUGAAAUCUCGGAGCUCAACUUCGAAAUUGCACUGGAUACUGCUCUGCUAGAGGGCUGGAGAGGAGAUCGGAAUUCACGGUGUAGCAGUGAAAUGCGUAGAUAUCGUGAGGAAGACCAGUGGCGAAGGCGGAUCUCUGGACAGCUCCUGACGCUGAGGCGCGAAGGCUAGGGGAGCAAACGGG